rnacentral:misc_RNA from 1 species
CAAACGCGCUCCCAUAAGCUCUGAUCUCCUGAAACUGCUCCUCCCUGUUGCGAUAUGCCAUGCCAUCGGCCAUGUGACUAGCAAUGUAUCAUUUGCUACAGUUGCGGUCUCAUUUACUCACACGAUUAAAGCACUGGAGCCCUUCUUCAAUGCGGGAGCAUCACAAUUCAUACUCGGACAGCCGGUACCCUUGCCAUUGUGGUUGUCUUUAGCUCCGGUUGUGAUCGGUGUCUCAAUGGCGUCACUCACGGAGUUGUCAUUCAAUUGGACUGGUUUUAUUAAUGCCAUGAUAUCAAACAUCUCCUUCACCUACCGGAGCAUCUAUUCCAAGAAAGCGAUGGUUGACAUGGACAGUACGAACUUGUAUGCGUACAUUUCGAUCAUUGCACUGAUUGUGUGCAUACCGCCUGCAAUCAUUCUCGAGGGGCCACAGCUGUUGCAGCAUG